rnacentral:rRNA from 1 species
GACGAACGCUGGCGGCGUGCUUAACACAUGCAAGUCGAACGAAGUGGCGAACGGGUGAGUAACGCGUAAUCAACCUGCCCUUCAGAGGGGGACAACAGUUGGAAACGACUGCUAAUACCGCAUACUGAAGGAGGGGAUUGCGUCUGAUUAGCUAGUUGGCGGGGUAACGGCCCACCAAGGCGAUGAUCAGUAGCCGGUCUGGGCGGAUGAACGGCAGAAGUGGGACUGAGACACGGCCCAGACUCCUACGGGAGGCAGCAGUUGGGAAUCUUCCGCAAGGGACGAAAGUCUGACGAGGCAACGCCGCGUGAGUGAUGACGGCCUUCGGGUUGUAAAGCUCUGUUAAUCGGGACGCGGUACCGGAAUAGAAAGCCACGGCUAACUACGUGCCAGCAGCCGCGGUAAUUC